AGCAGCCGCGGUAAUUCCAGCUCCAAUAGCGUAUAUUAAAGUUGUUGCAGUUAAAAAGCUCGUAGUUGAAUUUCGGGAUCAAUUUAUCGGUCGUGCCAAUGGUAUGAACUGGUACAAUUGGUUUCUCCCUUCUGAAGAACCAUGAUGUCAUUAACUUGGUGUUGUGGGGAAUCAGGACUGUUACUUUGAAAAAUUAGAGUGUUUAAAGCAGGCUUAGACUUGAAUACAUUAGCAUGGAAUAAUGAAAUAGGACGCUUGAUCCUAUUUCGUUGGUUUUUAGGAUCGACGUAAUGAUUAAUAGGGAUAGUUGGGGGCAUUAGUAUUCAAUUGUCAGAGGUGAAAUUCUUGGAUUUAUUGAAGACUAACUACUGCGAAAGCAUUUGCCAAGGAUGUUUUCAUUAAUCAAGAACGAAAGUUAGGGGAUCGAAGACGAUCAGAUACCGUCGUAGUCUUAACCAUAAACUAUGCCGACUAG
rnacentral:rRNA from 1 species